rnacentral:lncRNA from 1 species
GGGGAGUCUCGUUCGAACGUUCGGACAGUAAAGUCGUUAUCGUAGAUAACCAUUAGUUUAUAAUUGCUUUUUAAUUUCACAAGUUUUUGUUAGUGAAGUGCAAAACAACACAUCUAUUAAUCAUUGGGUGAUGAUAGAUUUUGUUAUCAUUGGAUGAUAACAAAUUUAG